UGACAAACAAACAACCAAUUGGUUGUUUAACCUACAAAUUAAACAAACGAUUGAUUAGUUAAUUGGUUGGAUACUUAACCAUAGACUAACAAUAAAGAAGUGGAAUUGAACCAGUGCAUGUGUGAUUCUUAUGAUUAUUGGCUUAAUGCCCUCCCC